GUGGACAUGGAAAGAUACAUUUUACCUUUAUACAAACAUACUUAACAUACAUUAAGGGGAAUUAUGCCACAUGCGUUUACAUGGUAUAGGAAAUUAUCUGUAGCUGGUAGCUUUGUUAGCUGGCUAAUUUAGCUAGCUAGCUUCUAGUACGUUUUGUUACAAGACUUACUUUCGUUUACGUCUUCUCUUUGUUCUUUCUGGAACGGGUGCUUCGUCGUCAACGAGGUACCUUUUGUAACGUACUGGAUCCAUAUCUAUUGCUUUUCUUUAAUUGCGUCUAAAUUGCAUUUCUCCACUCUGCUGCCACCGAUCAGCCGCUACAGCGUCGCGUAGUUGAUGACGUCAUCCGCAUGCGGCCCAGCACACUAUCUUUCGCGCCGAAAGAUAACGGCUGGGCGUAAAAAUUGCGAUAUCAGCGUUGGAGAUCCGCUAUGUCCUACUUGAAUGGACUGAGGGUGAGGAUAGAGGGGCCCAUAGUAUUUUGGCUCUCGACUGUGUCCGGAAUUUUUCAGUAAAAAAAUUUCUUGAAAGGACUGAAAAAAACGAGAAGCUGGUGGAAUGGUGAAAAGGCCGCCAACCCUGGCCGGUGCACCGAGCAAGAAUUAUUGACGUGGCAAGUAUGUUACAUGCUAACUUUAUCUGACGUUAUGUAGUUACAUACCACAUUUAAUGUUUUUUCUCGCUCUUAAAGAAGUCUAAAAUGGAUCUUGCUAGGUCCCUGGUUAGCAAUAGCUUCGCUUUCUGGCUCAUGUUAGCUACAUAAUUUGCUAAUGUAAGCGAAGUCCAAUUGGGACUAAUGUUAGAUUUGGUAACGUUAAGCAUGAUUAGACAAACGUUUGCAGUUCAUGAUAACAUUUAAAUUUUAUUGCACCAGAAUUUGAAAAAACUCUCCAAAUUAAACUGCGUGGGAUCGAGAUGGAGAAAGAAGUCACACAGCAAACAAAACGUCCUCACAUCCCAAACUCAAAGUACCGUGAUCAGGGGCAGACUGAGAAGGCUUCAAAGAAAAGGGUUGACAAUAAAAAGAGAUGUCCUUCUAAAUACAACCACGAGGAGGAGGAGGAGAAGGAGGAGGAGGAGGAUGAGGCGCGUCAUGACAGGCCUUCAAAGGACAAGGUACACUACCAGUCUGCAUCCAGUGUGUGUUGUUACAUUGCAAUACAGUAAAGAUAAG
rnacentral:lncRNA from 1 species